GAUCAUUGACAUACUGACAAGGCUAAAACAAAGAGAUAACUAACGUAGAGAGGCUCUAAGCCCUCUACAAGUGACUAACAAUACAGCUUGCAAUCUUAGACUUAUCGUGCUAAGAGCUGAACGGCUAACGACCGCCCCCUCGCCCCUCGUAAAGGGCUUGCAAGCAC
rnacentral:sRNA from 1 species